ensembl:lncRNA
CUUUAAAUUCUUCGGGAAUGUCAUUUACAUUAGAUUUUGGCACCGUGAUUCUUUUAGUGCUCUUCGUCAACUUUUCUCUAAUAUUUGACAGUUAAAUUUCAUGGUCAGGACCACAAUCUGCUCCUGGUCCUGUUUUGGCAGAGAAAAUACAGCUUCUCCAUCUCCUGCUUUCACUUACGUAGUCUAUUUGAUUUCUAUAUUAUCCAUCUGGUGAUGUCCAUGUAGACAGUUGCCUGUUCAGUCGCUUUAAGCAUGUUUUUGCAAUGGACAGAUUGUCGGCUUCACAUAAAUCCGUGAGCCAGUCUCCUGCUUUGUUUCUGACCCCUUGACCGAAUUUUCUGCCAAUGUUUGAUUCCAUUUUAUUUCUUGCUUUUGUGUUCCAGUCACCUCUAAUUAUUAGCAUACCUUGUUUUACUGUAUGAUCAAUUUCUUCCAGGACACUUGAAUAAAAACUUUCAAUUUUAUCUUCUUCAGCAUCUGUGGUUGGAGCAUAGACUUGGGUGAUGGCUAUGUUAAUAGGUUUUCCCAGACGUCUGAUUAACAUUACUUGGUCAACCUUGCAUUGGAUCCCUAACUGCCUGUGCUACAUCUGGCCUCAGUAUUAGAGCCACUCUGUUUCUUUUGAGUUUGUCGUUUCCUGGGUAGAAGACUUUAUAGUGGUCUGAUUAAAAGUGUCUCGUUCUAGUCCAUUUUAGUUCACUAACACCAAGCACUGCAAUAUUUAAACAUUCCACUUCUUGCUUUACAAUUUCCAGUUUACCUUGGCUCAUGCUUCUCACACUGCAUGUUCCAAUUGCGUGUGUUGUACACCAUCAGACUUUCCUUUAACCCUCGUGCACUUCAGCAGCUAGAUAUCCUUCCAGCUUUAGUCUAAUUGCACAUUAACAAGACUGCUGUUCUUUUUCUUUUUUAAAGAUUGGCACCUGAGCUAACAACUGUUGCCAAUCUUUUCUUUUUUUUUUUUUCUGCUUUAUCUCCCGAAAUCCCCCCAAUACAUAGUUGUAUAUCUUAGUUGCAGGUCCUUCUAGUUGUGGCAUGUGGGUCACCGCCUCAACAUGGCCUGACGAGCAUGCCAUGUCCAUGCCCAGGAUCCGAACCAGUGAAACCGUGGGCUUCCGCAGCGGAGCACGUCAGCUUAACCACUCGGCCACGGGGCGGCCCCCAACACGCCAUUCUUAUUUGUUCUUUGCUCUUCCCCAGUAAGAGUGUGAGUGCCUUCGGACCUGGAGGUCUCAUCUCCCAGCAUUAUCUCAUAUUUCACUUUGGACUGUUUCAUCACAGGUUUCUCAAGAUCAAAAAAGCUAAAAAAGGAAAAAUAUAGCAGCGGUUUACCGUCAUCUUCUGCUGUACAGUGUGUGAGUCCAAACCACAUGUGCUCUGGCCCGUACUGUGAAAAUCACCAAACACCUAAGAUGAACUGUAUCCCACUCUAAAUUCAGCUACUUAUUGACCCAUAUUUGACACUUCAUCUCUAGUACACUUACAGUUUCUAUUUUGUUCUUGCAUUUGUUACUUCAGGAGUUACUGAGGUCUGAACAAUAUACUGUAAUUAGUCAGUUUGUAUGGACUAUGGCCUCCACAACUGGUCUCCCUGCGGUACGUUUUGUUAUUUAAACAAUGUUGCUAAUAUAAUAUGCAUGAGGAAAAUGUUGGUCCUAUUGUUUUUGCAGCCUGUGAUGUUUUCAAAUCUUUCAACAAAAUAAAAAUGAAGCUUGCAAUAUGACAGAGCAAAUGCCUAAUAAUAUAGUGCCCAUAUUUUGUUUUUCCUUCCAUGGAUUUCCUAAAUUCAGAACUCUUGAUUUCAUAGCAUCAACAUACAAGACAGUUGUCUACAUGCUGUGCAUUCUGCCUAAGACCACAUGUGAACUGCAAAGGAGUUAGAUGAAGAAUGAUAGCUCAACAACCACGUUUUCUGAAGCCAUGAAAGCUGGCAUGACUCCAGAUGUCAAGAGGAAGGCUUGCCUCCCCUGCUCACCAGCCCACCAGGGCUCCAUGCACCCCAAGUUGUACCAAAGGUU